AAGGAUAUUGAUGUGAAACAGCCUGAAUUCUUGUUCAAAUCUGACCGUAGCUUUCUUAUUCCAGGCAUUGGACGAGUGCUAGUGCCGCCACACCCAUACCUUAGCAUUCCACACCCACACCUUAGCAUUCCUUCCUACAGUCCACCUGCUAGCAUCGGUGGCGGCAGUUACAUUCCAGGUGGAGAUGACACAUUUGUCCCAAAUCCUGGGUUUGAAACUC
rnacentral:lncRNA from 1 species